UAACGAUGAAGAGUUUGAUCCUGGCUCAGGAUGAACGCUAGCGGCAGGCCUAACACAUGCAAGUCGAACGGUAACAGGAAAGAGCUUGCUCUUUUGCUGACGAGUGGCGCACGGGUGCGUAACGCGUAUACAAUCUACCUUUUACAGUGGGAUAGCCCAGAGAAAUUUGGAUUAAUAUCGCAUAGUAUUAUUAAUUGGCAUCGAUUGAUAAUUAAAGU
rnacentral:rRNA from 1 species